rnacentral:lncRNA from 1 species
AGACUUGGCCAAUAAUUAUAAGACUACUGAAUGGCUGAGCUCGGGCUUGCAUCAAGGACUCCUGAGUGACAGCAGUCGCCUGUGCCCUCUGGACCUCUGCUCCCCUAUCAUUGCGCUUUUCCUCUUCAUCUCCAGGUCGUUUGGUUUCCAGAUUCACUGAGCUGAGUUGUCUUUUCAUCACUGAAGGGCUUUGAGACCCUCCCUCCAGCUUUUCCAGCAGUAGCGUGUGCAGUCAGCCCCCCAAGUGAGCAGACGUUUAC